UCAAUCACAUGUACAGGACUCAGGUGAGUUUCAAACCUAUAAUGUGGCAGGCACUGAGAUGCAAGAAUCUGUCAUGACACUUGAAGUAAGCAGAUAUUUGUGGAGUACAUACUAAGAGCACAGGUAAGCUGUUGGCUACAUAUAGGAAAAAAUGAACUGUAUUUUAACAGGUAAUCUGUUAUUGUUUGUCUUUUUUAUUGCACAAUUAUACAGACUAAUUCCUAGGCUAUUUGCAUUAUAAGACUAAUUUCAAUGCUUGUGCAUUUGAGUUAUAACAGAAAGAGAGAUAUUUCAGUAAUAACACUUGAGUUAAGUGGUACAUCGGAAGUGACAUAACUCUGAGGUGACAGAACAUGGAUCUGAUAAACAGCAGCAUCCAGUGCUUGGACACCAAGUACCUGCCAAGAAUAAUUUUUAAUGAUGUUAUGUACGACAUGUUGUUUUGUCUUAACAGAACACAAAGUGACUGUAAACACUUUGGAAUAAUGUGAAAAUAAAUACAUUUUUCCUACUAAACAUCCAGCAGGAGAGACAGCUGAGGAAGUUUGUUAACUUUUAGUACUACUCUACCUUAUUUAUAUAUCCACCAAAAAACAACUUCUACUGCAACUGGUACUUGGUGAAUCUUUAUUUCAGAGGAAGAAAGCCUUGCUCCAGGCUGCAAUCUCUAAAAAAAACAAAACAAGGUGAACCCUUUAUAGCAGGUGCUGGGAUAAUCCCAGCCCUGUAGCUCUCAGUUUCAACCUCCUUGGUCCUGACUCAACACCAAGUCCCACCAAACACUUCAUCCUCAGGCAUCAGUGGCCUAGCUAAGGGUGGGACAACUGGACUGCUAACACUGAAACAAAGAAGGAAGUUGCACUUUUUAUUGGAUCAGCUUUAAUCACUUCCUACUGACAGGCACAUACUAUAAAGGCACAUUUCAUGGAUCAUCUUCACUUCAUACAGACUGGGGGGAUUAAAGUUUGUCCUACAGCAGGGAAAGGAAGUAAGAGAGUGAAAAAGAGAGACCAAAAAUAAAAGAGGAGGUGUGAAUGAGGAAGAAAAAGAAAAAACUGAGUGUUAGAGUAGGAGUAAGAAAACAUAAAGCCAAAGGUAAACCAAAAUUAAAACAAAAAAACAAAUGACUGAACAAAUAAAGUGAAAGAAAUCAGGAAAACUAAAUUGAGAAAUAAGCUCCAACACAAAACCAAAGAAAGCAAAACAGUAAAGGAUAUCAAGAAAUAUUGACAAAGAAAGAGUAAAUAAGCAAAACAAAGAAACAGAAGACUAAAAACGUGUAGAAAAGAAACAAAUAUUAGCUAACAAGAAAAACAAAAAGGGUGCAAGUAAGAAAAGAGAAAGUGAGGAGCUGGUAGGACAGUGUAUAUACAGUGAAAGGGGCGUGGUACACAAAAUAUAUGAUCUAAUGCUAUAUGCUGCAUCGCCCCACCCAGAGAGAGAGAGUCCAUGUCCUGACAAGAAGUGCAGGCAGGCUCCCACAGGCCCUAACACAAGCUUUGGGGCCCUGUACAUACAUACACCCAUAUGUGUGUGUGGGGAGAGGGGGGAGGGAAAGGAAGGGGGUGGAUACAAGAUACAGAGAGACAGACUGGAAAGUUCACUGGUGUCAACAGGUUUCAACUGGAGGGGCAGAAAAGAGAGAGAGGGAAGACUGCAAAAUAAACAAGACGGGACAAUCACACAUGCAAUAAACAAGAGGGGAGAAAGUAGACCGAAGAGCCAAGAGAGAAAAAGAGAAAACAGACGAAAGAGAAAUAGAAAGAGAGAAAAGAGAGCCUGUUUGAGAGUGAGAGGGAGUCAGUGUUGUGGGAUCAACCUGACCUUGGCCUCAGCCUGACCUAGUGACACAAAACUGACUGAGGGCGGAAGAGGAGGAGGAGGAAGAGGAGGAGGAGUGCUGUUUACUCCUGUCUAGUCUAGUUUUAAAAAAUCCUUAAGUAAAGUUUAGCCAUUUCCCAGAAUGUUUUUCAACAAUCCAAAGGGAAGUGACAUUAUGCCAUAUUCACGACAUAUCAGACAGACCAUAAAUACAAGUAGGGAAAAAAGUUGUGUCAGCCUCCCAGCUGCUAAAAUCAGUAAGUGAUAUGGCAUAUUUUUAAUGGCUAUGAUACCAGUGAGAGGCUGCUGUAUACGGAUAUAGCUGCAGCCAAUAGACCAUGUCCUGAUGCCAUGCCUUUGACUUCUGCUGUAAGUCUGUGGUCUUUUUUCUGCUGUGAAAUUAGAAACAGGGUAGUACUGUGAUCAAAUUAAAAAUACCUGUAUCAGAGGAAAUUUUAAUUUCAAUUAUCAAUUAGUUUUAUUAUCUAUAAAACUACUAAUUUGGUGCAGCCCUAACUGAGAAAAUUUCUAUCAAUCUCAAUCAUUACAGCUGCGUUAAAGAUUUCAACCUGGCAUCACUGAAAAAGGAAAAUCCACACAUCAACUAAAUUUACUCUGAAAAACAAUGUAAGUACAUCACCAAUACCAGCCUUUAUGUAGUGUUGUUAGUAUGCAAUAUUCUUUUAAGGUGAAUAUAAGGACAAGUUUCAACUUUGAAAAGUGAAACCGUAAUGGGUCCGCUAAGAGAGUGGUGAAACUGAAGAAGAGGAGAGCAGAGAGACAAAAUCUAUCCCUCUCCAUCAAAAUAAUGUGUCAUAACGACAGGUGAAGCUGAGUGAGAGGAAACAGGCAGUCAAGCUGUCAGGAAACCAGUCAGCAGGUGAUUUACGCUGCUCUCAAUGGCUGACUCUCUUGCGCAGACGCUGCUCUGAUCUGGAUAUUUGGACAAAAGACUGUUUUAAACAUGACAGUCUGCUUCGUGUUGACAUGCAGUGAAUGCACUUACCGACGGUAACCUGGUUACAGGUUUUCUGUAGCAAGCUGAUUUCUUUAACCUCAGGUAAAUGGGAAACCUGGUUUCCGUCAAUCAAAAGAGACAAAAGUAUACGGCAACACCUGUAUUCUGUUUAAUAUGUGUUCUGUCUGUGAUCUGUGAGUGGGACGUUAUAGACAGUUGGCCUCUUAAUAAUAUUGCCGGCAAUGGUGAGAACCAACCAUUACCCUGCUAAACUAUAAGUGAUAGUAUGUCUGUCACUUUUAGAUAUAUCAGACAUAUUUCACAUUCAAAACACACAUUUUAGUGCCUUUGAUCAUCAUCUGGGAAGUGAAAACAUCAUUGUAGCACAUAGUCAAAGACAUUUAAAGUGUGCAUCCAGAUUGACUAGUCCUGAUCCUGACUAGGAAGCGGCUCUCCAGUGUGGCUGCUGACAGCAAGUGGCGAUCACACUGGACGGCAGUAGAGGACGCGGUGCCGGCAUCUGGUUCACGAGUAAGUUUGCCGACUUUGCUGGACAGCACUGGAGCAGCGAGCAGAAAGGAGGGACAAACGGGGCACUCACCAAUGCUCUGCAUCACUCUGCCCCCUGUUUCCAUCAACCUGCUCUACUUCUCUAUUACAAUUAGGUAUACAGUUCAUCAUCCAAACCCAACUGGUCAGUUCAAGCUUUUCUGCCACAUCACUCCUCUCUCAUAAUGGAAACCAGGAGACAGUAAAGAAAAUACUAUAGGCUACAAAACACUCCUUCAUGGAAACCAGAGGACACUGUAGGAAAUACUGACAAAAAGUUAUUUGCAAUGUAUUUUAUGAUAAUGUCUUUGAUGCUCUAAUGAACAUAAACAAGGGAAACAAGGGAAACCAGACCGCUAUCUCAUUUCCACAGGAAAUACUGUAGUAAAGAGGUGCAUGGCCCCUCCUGUGUUCAGAUCACAGGAGUAACUUUUGCUGAAUGAAAUCAGUGAAAGAUCAAUCAACAUCUCCAGGGCGCUUCAACAAACAGAGAGAGAGAGAAAGAGAGAUUCCUGUGACACAUAAUAGAACAGGAAGAGGAACACCUUUUCAUAGCAGUCUUGUAUCAUCACAGCCAGGACACCUGGUCAAAGGUAUAAAGUAGGUCUCUUCCUCUUGGGUGAUUAUUUAUUUAUACUAUGUAAUGUUUUAAACAGUGGCCAAGAUGAGUGUGUGAGAGUGUGUGUGAACAUGUGCUUGUGGUUCUGAAGUGGGAAGCACCUGCCUGACGAUGACUUGAACAUGUUUGCCAGUGUGCGUGUGUCUCCCUUCCACAGGAAAAGGAAAAGCAUCAUCAUGGCUACUGUUCACGCAAGCAUCCAGCUUUAUUGGCUUCAUCAGAGUAGAGGGCUCCUUCACAAUGUCUGACAUCAUUCCACAUCCACUCUGAACCUCAUUUAAACCAGGUCUGCCAAGUCAGGAGAUGAUGUCAUUACUUAAAAAUGUGCUGCUGCAUCAACACAACCCUCCAUUACAGGCUUUCUGCUCUACAUACAAAGUCUUCUUUAAUCCUUUAGUGAAGAGACGUGAAGCAUAUCGAUGAAUUUGAGCACCAUAUUUCAGAAAUCUAUUCUUUAAGAAAAUCAUAUAUGUUCCAAAUCACGGACUGAUUUAAACAAUAGUUUAAGCCUUUAUGCUAUUUUGUCAAAUCCACAACUUCUGACAUUUUCAAGGCCCAUUCAAACCCUGCACACCUCAGCACUUCACCUGGACAUCACCCAACAGACUGCUGCCAACGCAGGUUGCAGUAAAUGAUGAUAUGAUGAUGAAAAAAGUAAAAUCUCCCAGAUAUCAAACAAUAUUUCCUGUGUAACAGAGGGAAGAGGGAGAAGGUCAUACUUGUUCACAGGUAGAACUCCUCUCUGCCCUAAAAAAUUAAUACCAGGGACUAUUUAUUUCUACAAUGUUAAGGGUCAAAUUUCAUAACUUGAGUUUGGAUUUAAUUUAAACAUUAAAAAAAAUAAACUAUAGGUGCUCCUGUGGCACAUCUGUACCACAAAUAUUUAUGUCUUUCUAUCCUGUAGGACUACUUGUUGCAGGCUAAUAGACAUAUCCUUAACUUGUGUGUUUUGGGUGAGUGAAGAGGCAAGAUGGGUUUUUUUAUUGUCUCAUCUUUUUCCCAGCAGUGGGGGAGGUUUCCUAGUAGAAGGACACGGCUGCUGUAUGAAUGGAGAACAAUUCUUUGCUAUCCUUUGCUCCAACCCCCCUCCUUUCCCACUUCCUCUUGAGUCUUUCAUCAACAUCCCCUCUUCUCCCCUGCUGCAGUAGUAACUGGUGGUUGGAUGUCUGGAGGAAGCAGGGUGGGGGCUGAAAACAGGGUAAACGAUUUGCAGUCUACCUGUGGAAGCGUACGUAGCUCUCCAGUGUUGGGGAGGCUCUGAAUGUUGCAGUCGCAGCUAUGCUGGGAAUGUGAGCCUCCGCUCUGCCAGGGCUGGACCGGAGAAGCCCACAACUCUAUUUAAGGAAAUGGCAGUCAGGGGCCCAUCAGCCGCUCUCUCUCUGCCUCUCCAAUUCUCUGUCUGUCUCUCGCUCUGCUCACAGCCCCCCUUCCUUCCUUGUACAAGAAUGAUAAUUAUUUUCCUUUGUGGAAUAAAGGUUUAUUUCCGUACCUGCUGGGAAGAAGGAGAACACACACAAACGCAGCAGUGUACUGGUGGUGUGGUUUGGGUAUAAUUGUUUCCGGUACAUUUGUAAGCUUAAUAGGGAUGUGUCUUUGUAAACUGCUUUAGUGCUGUGGUCUACCAAAUAACAACAACAAGUCAGUCAAAGAGAGAAGUUUGAAAGAAGGUGAAAGUUUCAGUCUACUACACAUUUGCUAUACAGAACUGUUUUACAGCUAACUACUUGAGUUCAAUGGUUAAACACACACACAAAACUAUCAAGUAUGCAGAACUGUCCAGGCCUUCAUACCAAAUAAUACAAAAAAUGCUAUCACGCUAAGGUUAGUAAUCAGGCUUGCACUAAAUAUCUGCUAUCUGAUAUCAUCAUUGUCCACUUCUGAUAUAACGAAUAUUCUUCCCUAUCACAACAAUUAUUUCAUUCGUACCAUUGAAUCGUUGUUGUGGGUCACCCUGUGUUUAAAGAGCUGUAAACCCUAAAAAAAUAUAUUUAAUUAGACAAGCUUUUGGUUUUCUGUCCAAUGAUGGUCUAAAUGCUGUUUCAACGGCUUUUCCAACUUGAAUUAAUGAACAUAAAUUAAGGACAGAACCAAACUUUUGGAGCCUAUAAACAUUUUUGUCUGCAUAUACAGAAUACUGGUGUAAUAACACAUACAGCACUUAACUAACUGGUUUGACCACACCAGACAGACCAGUCAGAGUCUUUCAGGCUACACUGGCCACUCCUGCAGUGCUGUAUGAUUGUGUGUUUGUGUGUAGGGGCCAUUGAUGCAAUUAAGCGUGUUUGUUUCGCUGCAGCUUGUGACGUACAUUCAAGUGAUAUGUGGAAUGUGGAGUGUGGGUCCGUGAGUGCGAGACAGACGGGUUUACCCAGCAUGCUCGGCUGUCCACAGCCUGAGGGAUAUAGCUUCAGCAUCCGGCUGUAACACCAUAUCUGCUUGUCUGUGCAGUUGGGACUGGAUGGCUCCCGAGCUUAAAAGCCUCCUUACACAAGAAGUGAACUGUAUAGCACAGCCAGCUGCCCGAGAGCGGGGUGGGGAUGGGGAAGGGCUGGGGGGCUAUAUGGGGAAACAUUAUACGCCUGUAUGUCUGGUCAGGACGAGACUGACUCUGGUCAUCUAUGAGACAGACUGGUAUCCCUCACCUGUUCUCACCCUCUGUCUCUCUCUCUCUCUCUUUCUCUCUCACACACUCACACACAGAUGUAUGUGAAUCAUCUGUCAAGUUAUGUUUUCUCUGUUUUCUCUGAUGUUAAUUAAGACAGUGUUUUCAAUUUUUUAUAUUUGCAGUCAGGCUUAUAUUGAAUGAUUAAAUUUUAAGUUUUCAUAAGCACUUGUCUUCUAACCAUCAUAAUUCAUUAAAGGUGUAAGGCAUUUGGCUAAUAUGGAACUUGUUUUGGUUGAAUUCAAGCUGAGAACCAAUUAAUUCCACUCCUAUUAGUCUAACACGGUCUUAUUACAGUAUACAUCUUAGAACAUGCUGAAUCUAAGUUAAAAAGUGUGACUUCCACCUGGAAAGCUUUGAAGGCGUGUUGGUUGUUGUCUGUUAGCUAAACCAUGCUAGUCCGCUAACCCCAGCCUGUAUAGGGUUAGGGACAGAGCUGAUAUUUUCGUAAUGGUAAAUGUAAAUGAGAACUUCCCCUAUCAUUUAGAUCAUCGGUUUGGGAGUAUUACAAUUUCCCUGUAAAAUGUAGCAACACUGGACAGUGUUGGAUGAAGAGCAAUGGAUCUGAUUGAAGCUUUGUGUUAACAAGGCUAUGGAAGGCCAUUUUGGCUAUGGAAAUAGCAACAUCAAACAUGCAAUUCAUUUGCGAUGGCAUCACAGAAUGUGUCUCCUACCAGUGGUCUAAAACAGAGAGAGGGAUCAGUCCAGUCCUUCCCCCCACAGCGUUCAACCAGCCUCUCACGGAAGAUUCAGACUAGCCAACACCCAACACUAUAGGAGUGUUUAUUGCUGCAGAUCUGCCUCCAUACUCAGAGUGGUUGAGCCCUGCUAUAAUGUUCCUUCAUGUGUGCAUACUUGUUUGUUUUCCAUUAAAUACUUAGUGGCCAUUUGCAAAUGUUUGAGUAA